UACAGAGGGUGCGAGCGUUGUCCGGAAUCACUGGGCGUAAAGGGCGCGUAGGCGGCUCGGUAAGCGUGCGGUGAAAGCCCGGGGCUCAACCCCGGGUCGGCCGUGCGAACUGCAGAGCUGGAGCACUGUAGAGGCAGGUGGAAUUCCGGGUGUAGCGGUGGAAUGCGUAGAGAUCCGGAAGAACACCGGUGGCGAAGGCGGCCUGCUGGGCAGUUGCUGACACUGAGGCGCGACAGCGUGGGGAGCAAACAGG
rnacentral:rRNA from 1 species